AGGCAGACGCGAAGCAGAUACGGAUUUGCCUAAAUCAGGAGUCUGUGUCUUAAAUGGACUCCCUGGUCAAAACAGUUGUCUCAUAUUGGUCAACCUUUUAUUGACUUGAAAACUGAAACAAGAUGGAUCGAAAACGGAAGGCUGAUGAUCCAUGUGAUGACACAGUGUGGAAAAAGGCCACACUCAGGUGAUGUCACUAACACGAUGGAUCGCACAAGAAAGGAUUUUUGAUUCCCUUUGAUGCAGGUGAUGUCACUGACAGGACAGAUCGGACACAGAAGGCUGAUGAUCCAUGUGAUGUUACCAUGGUUACAGCACCGAAAAGGGCAAAGUUUGGUGACAUCACAGAAUGUGUAUUGUCAUCAGUGCCAGCACCACAUGGAUCUAGCCAGUCUACCUCAUCUGCUCCCACUAACUACUUUCAGACUGGUAUGACUGGUGGAACGGCCAUCGGAAGUACUGUGGCAUCUGUGAUUGUGAAUAAUGCAGCAGCCGAAUGUUCACUUCUUCAACAUUUAAUCACUGAAACUGAGAUGAAGAUCAGAUCAAGAGAUCCCACAAGACAUGUUUCAACAUACACAGAGAGGGCUGCAUUCAGACAUCUGAAGGAGUGCGGCAGUGUCAUCAUCAGGGGAAGAUCAGGGGCCGGGAAGUCACAUCUCGGGUAUACUUUGUUGGAAAGGGUUGCAAAAUCAUGUUCAAGGAUACCGGUGAAGGUGUCAUCACCACAUGAGUGGAAUCACAUACACAAAUCAAGUACGUCUGAUGCUGAAAAGUAUGUUGUAAUGGUUGAUGACAUUUUUGGGCAAACAAAUUUGAUCCAGUCAAGCCUUGAUGAGUGGAGGCAGAAAUUUGAUCUAAUGUGGCCCCUUGUGGAAUCUGGACAGAUUUGGUUAGUGAUGACAUCACGUCCAGAAAUCAUUAUUGAAGGAGAACCAGAAAUAUUUGGAUAUGAAGUAAUAAAUAAGGCAAAAGAGAUCAUUCUUGAUGAAGGAAAGUACCAUCUCCGGGAGGGAGAAAAAUUACAAUUCCUUGAGAAGUUGUGUGGAAAAUAUGUAAGGAAGGAAGACAUGAAAAAAAUUGCCAAAAUGGACACUGCUUUGGGAUUCCCACAAUGCUGUACAUUUUUUGCAGCAAAUAAGGAUGCAAUAUUGAAAGGAGUUGAAUUUUUCAAGAAACCUUUUGAAUUUAUAAAGGAUUUGAUUGAGUGUGUUAAGAAGAAACAACCUAAAGUCUAUUUUGUGUUGCUGUUGGUUUUUAUGAAUGAAGGAGAACUCUCCAUGAAAGAGCUCAUGUCAAUAGAGCAUGAGGACAAAUUUGAAAGGCAGUUUAAAACCAUUACGUCCUAUUUUGUGAAAGCACUUCUGUCCAAGGCUGACAUAAAGAAUGUAGCAAAAUCAGUCUGUGGGAUAUAUCUUUUAGAAUCUUUCAGAUGUUUCCUGUUCUCACACAGGUCAAUACAUGAUGUCUUGUUUGUAGCCCUGUGUGAAGAUAGUCCUGCUUUAGGAAUCAGAAUGAGCACACCAGUCAUGCUGCUAGAAUUUAUUCGACUCAAUGCACGGAAACUGGAAAGAUGCAAGCAACGCAAUGUUGUAUUUGUAGGUGAAGAACAUUAUCCAAUUUUGGCUGAUAAACUGAGGGAAUAUCUGUCAAAUGAGAACACUCGAUACAUGGUACUGUCUCAUCCAGCUUUACAAGACACAGAGUUUUUUACAUGUGAUCUUUCAUGAAUGGAAAACUGAUGACAUAUACCAACUGUCCAGGCACAAUGGAGAGAAAGUUGUCAAAGACAUUGCUUUACCUCUAAGUGGAAAACUAGGUUUGCCACAAACUGUCAACAUUCUCGAAUAUAAUUUGUUUCUCUCCCAUGUUAUUAUGAAUCACAUGAAGGAGUUUGCUUUUACGUAUCAUUCAGUUACUUUGUAGUUAUAAUUCAGAGGACAUUCAGCCUGUUUUAAAUGAAGCCUUGCUUUGUGCUUUGUUUACUUGUGAUAAAGACCUAGCAACAGUCCUUCUUUCAAGUGGAGCUAAACCAAACAUGUUGUGUUUUAUCUCACUUUGUAACUGGCCACAACUAGAUACAAAUACUUCAUCCACUAUCAUUAGUCAGAUAGAAGACAAUGAAACCAAUCUGAAACUUCUCUUAAGUAUUGCAGUUAUUUCCUGCAAUAAGACAGUGAUCAGGGUUUUAAUUCAAAAACUCACUGCUCUAAGUGGAAACCAUGAACAGUUUUACAGCCAUUGCUUAGAAUUGUUGCUUAAAAUCAAUGGCAACGGACACAUGGACAUAACACAAAUGACUACAAAUGCUGGACAUGAUAUACUUGAGGUGAUGACACUUCUUGAAGAAGGUGGUGGAAAAUUGGAUUCCAGAAAGAUAAGUCUUGCAUCUAGCCACAAAGACCCAUCUGUGUUAAGGAAACUGUUGCUCAGAUCACGUGAUGAUAUACAUGUGACUGAUGAAUUUGGUCGGACACCAUUACAUUUUGGCUUGUAUGUAUGGUGGUGAAGAUGGUGUUGAAUUACUGCUGAAACAUGGGUCAGAGUUAUCAGUGGACAAAGAAGGGUCGACUCCAUUUCAUUAUGCAUUGAAAUCUUGUGUUGACCAGAAGAAAAAGCUGAAGCUGUUGCUCAAUAAGAAUUCAACUAAUGAUGAAGACUUUGUCAACUUGACAGAUCACGUGAAGCGCACAGCGCUCCAUUAUGCUGCAGGUGCAGAGGCUCAAGCUGAUAUUCCAGAUCCAUUAGAUAUGUGUUUUGUUUAUCUACAAAAUGGCAGAAAAAAGCAAGUUCAAAAACCUCUCCACUGUGCAGCAAAGAAUGAGUGUAUGGAGUGUGUUAAGCUGUUGCUUCCAUUGUCAGAUGUAAAUGCCCAGGAUAGCAAUGGUAAUACAGCUUUACACUUCAGUUCCUUGUCUGAUGAACCCCACUGUCAUGAAAUGAUACAAGCACUGCUUGAGAAGGGAGGUGCUGUAGAAAUCAAGAACAAGAAAGGUGAAACACCUCUCCACUAUGCAGCAUGGAACCAGUGUACAGUAUGUGUUAAGCUGUUGCUUCCAGUGUCAGAUGUAAAUGCCCAGGAUAGUGAUGGUAAUACAGCUUUACACUUCAGUUCCUUGUCUGAUGAACCCCACUCUCAUGAAGUGAUACAAGCACUGCUGAAGGAGGGAGCUAAUGUACAAAUGCAAAACAGGAAAGGCCAAACACCUCUCCACUGUGCAGCACGGAACAAGUGUAUGGAGUGUGUUGAGCUGUUGCUUCCAGUGUCAGAUGUAAAUGCCCAGGAUACUGAUGGUAAUACAGCUUUACACUUCAGUUUCUUGUCUGAUGAACCCCACUCUCAUGAAGUGAUACAAGCACUGCUGGAGAAUGGAGCUGAUGUAGGAAUCAAGAACAAGAAAGGUGAAACACCUCUCCACUGUGCAGCACGGAACCAGUG
rnacentral:misc_RNA from 1 species